CUUUCUUCCUGGCUUCUCUGUCAUUUUGGGGAAAGCAGAAGUGAAAGUGAAACUAGACAGAGCAAGCUCCUGGUCCUGCCCCCAGCCUAGCCUGGUAAAGAUGAGUUCCGGCAGCCCGCAGGCACUGGCAAAGUGGGACAGAGAUCCUGGACAUUUACACCCUUUGGGGAAGCAGGGCUCAUCCUGGAAGAGAGGCCAUGCCCCCAAAAGCUGUCUGCCAAGCCAGUCACCAGUCCUUGGCUUAUAAGUCAGAGAGUAGAGGUGGAGGAUGGAGAAGACCACCCAUCCACCCAUCUAUAUGAGAACCUGGGCCCUUGGGCUACAGCUCCGCACCCCAGAGCAGAUAGAUCAAGGAAACCCCUACUUCUGUCUUCCUUAAACCAACGGCGGGGAGUUCCCAUCAUGGCUAAACGGUUAAGGAACCCGACCAGUAUCCAUGAGGACGCGGGUUUGAACCCUGGCCUUGCUCGGUGUUUUAAAGACCAAGCGUUGCAGUUACCGAGAGCUGUGGUGUCAGUUGCAGACGCGGCUCGGAUCCAGUGUUGCUGCGGCGUAGGCCGGCAGCCACAGCUCCGAUUCCACCCCUAGCAGGGAACCUCCACAUGGGGCGGGAGCCACCCAAAACAAAAACAAAAAAAAAACUACAACCCCGUUCCCCCGGCCUCAGGUCAUCUGUCAUCUCCUCCCGGAAGCCUGUUUUGACCUGGCCUCUGCCCAAGUCGGAAACUCUCGUGGGACUCCAACUAACGCCGUCCUCAUCACCAGUUUGGGCUCCAAGGGCGGAUCGUCCGGAGGCCCGACACCCCACAGUUUUGUAGCGAUAUCGGGCGGAGUGCCCAGAUCCAACACAGCGGUCACUCACCACUGCAAGUGGAAGGUGUGGCCGCAGUGGAUGGCUGCCACGUCGCGGGAGUGAUCGAAGAAGUCGGAGCAUAUAGUGCACAGAGCACGAAUAGGCAUGACUGGUCUCAAGUGGCCCAGGUAGCCAAGGAAACCGCGAAGGGUCCAGCUUCGUGGCCUUGCCUCAGCGUCCCAGCUUGCUUCAAAUUUGGCUCCACAGCGCGACUUCCGGAAGCGAACCGGAAAUGGCUACAAGGCGCAAAAUGAAGUUUGGGCCCGGAUUGGACGAACCCUCGGGGGCGGGGCUUAACGGCCUCCCGGGCCGAAAAGAAUCCUGGGGCCGAGCCGGGGCCUGAAGCUCAGCGGUAAGUCCCUCGCGGCUCCCGGGAAUUGCCCAGUACAAGAACACAGCGUUGGAUAGGCACCAGGAGCAGCUACGCCGCCGGCCGAGCCCCUUUCUGGGGCAAGACAAGACGUUACGGUCCCAAGCCAGAGCUGGGCACGAUCUCCUUAGCCCUGUUCUCUCAGCUCAGCCAUCUCUGCACUUCGCCAGAGUUUAGAAGAGGCCGUAAGGGGAUGAGACGAUGGUCCGGAUGGAGAGCGGGUCCCUUGGGCUCUGGGCAGUUAUCAACCGUAUAGAAGACCAUACUUCCCGGACCAAAAGAAUGCUCCGCCCUCUCAGUCCUCUCAGACUCUUUAGUGGUCCUCGAAAGGACACGGGUCAGGACACUCCCAGCUCGCCCUGGCUCUAUACAAACAAGGUUGAUGAUCCCUAAGUUUAAAGGUGGUGGGGCCGGUAUCCUGACUAGCUCCUAGCUCUCAGGAGAAUCAGUUUUGCCUCAGUACUGCCUUUUGGAGGCCCAGAUCCUUCAUAGACAAGUGGCUAACAAAUCUUUUUCUUAUUCCCAUAUCAGAGAAGUUAUCUUUGGGAUCCUAAGUAAGAGCAGCAUCCCUGGUGAAUUCACCUGGGCUGAUCCAGGCUGGAACAAGUAUUCCUAGGAGUUUUGAUGAUUAACUGUUUUUAGUAGUGGUAUCCCCCUCUCCCCAGAAGAAACCUUAUGCAGAGUCCCAUAAUGUAAAGCUGAUCUGUUCCACCUGAAGUAGACUCAGAGUGAAGUCCUUGGGGCCUAUGUGGAAAGCAAAGGUGUUCACAGGAAGGAAUAAUCAACACAAAGGAUAGGACAGAAUCUUUGUGUAAUGGCCACCCUGCACCCACUCCCCAACCCAGGGAAGCCCACUUUGGCCAUGGGCAAAGUCUCUCCCUAUGGUGGAUGGCCCUUGGUGGGUUCCAGGUCUAUGCCUAAGUCAGGAUAAUGGCUCCUUGUUCAACAGGACUUGUCAGAACAGUAGCAUAGAGGUUAUUCCUUGGCACAAUUCCAGCACAGGACCCACCACCCACAUGGAUUUCUAGAGUCCAGAGGACCCCUGCCACCAUCAAGGAACACACUGUGGUGAGGAUGGUCUGUACUCUCAGCCCAAGCAAUCCAUAUGGAACUGAGCACAGACCACUACCUGUGAACCUACUCCCAGCCUUCCCCUACCCACUGCCUUUCAGGGGCCCCUCCCCAGUAAUAUAGAGGAAGCAAAGGCAAGAGGGUGGCCAGAGGCUUUGGCAGAAUGAAAUUUAUUUGCCAGGUUCAGCAGGUACACGGCCCACCGACCUUCAUACACCAGAGCAGACCCACAGGCAUGCAGGGAGAAGGGCAGGACUAUCCCCGAGUGCCAAGUGAGGGCCAGGACCAGUGUGGCUGCCUGCCCAGGCCAUAGUGGGGUCUGACAAAGGGCACUUGCCAGGAGCCUCCAUCAGGAAACUGGGGAGCUUUAUUCCACUCUUUGAUUCCAGCAAAAGCAACUCAGCAGGGCUCAGAGGCACUUAGGCCUCACUCUAAGCCUUGACAAAAGGGGAAGUGGGUCACUGACAUAGAGAGGGUUCCUUCUAUUUUGUUGAACUGAGAGAGCAGAAAAUCUGCCCCCGAGAAGGGCAACCCCCCAAAUGAGACUGUGGGACACUGCCAUGCAGCUGGCCCUCUGGGAUGGAGAGGACUGUGGACUGAGCCUGAGGCGGGUCAUAUGGGAAGAGCCAGGGGCAGCCCUCCUUGUCUGCCCCAGGGUAAGGACUCAGCUAGGCUGGUACACUAGGUGCUAAGCCUGCACUCUUGCCCUCCCAGAUCUCAUUGCCACAUCCUAAUUGCUCCUCCUUCCCCUUACAGACUCAUGAAGCUCAGGGUACAGGGCAACCACUGCAGGACCCAGGAGGGCAGGAAAUAGCACACGGGUCUUGGGAGAGACUUUCCAGGGACAAAGAUGGAAGUGUCUACCUUUCUACUCAUUCUUUUUCACUUUUCAGGAACCCCUCAGCUACCAAGCAGUGCCCCCAGCCAUGCGACCAGUCUUAAAGCAUACUGCUUUAGAUUAUUGCAUUCUCUGUACCAGCCUGUUUCACGCCUAGAGCAGCCCACACACCACAGGCACAUACCUUCAUGUGCAGGAGCCUAAGACCGCUGACAGGGCCUCGCUGGAGGACCAGCUCUCAGGGCAAGGCCACCCAAUUUAGGGCCUGGGAGAGGAUGGGACCUGCAGGGCCUGCCUGGGGGAACUGUGAGGCAAAAAGGAAAAGGGAACAGGAGCAGGGACCUCCUGAGUAUCCCCAGAGCAGCAUCCCAUAAGGAACAGAAACUGAUGAAGCUAGCAAAAGACAAAAGCCACAAGGAAUCCAUGCAGGGGCUGGGGCUGGUCCUGCCUCUGGCCUCCCCACCACUCACACACAUACACACAGGAGAUGAGACUGCUCUCCUGUGGCCCCCAGACAUGCCCUGUGCUGGGAGGCAGGGGCAGGGGGCAGUGAGGGCAUCAUGCCAGUGAUGCUAUGUACAGGGCGAAGCCCCUCAUCUACUCUCCCACCCUCUUGCCCAUCCCCCAUCCCCCACCAGCCUGCCCACUCAGCUGGUCUCCCUCCGAGACUCCUGGGCAGAGCCAGCAGCCUCUUUCCCUUUACUAGAGGGUAGAGCCUGGCCUGUUGCGCCCCCUGGGGCUGUGCUGUCCGGCUGGGCCAAAGCCGGCUCAGGAAUGGCAGCAGCCUUGGUGGCCGGUGUGGCACUGCUUUGGAUGGUGGGCACAGUGCUUUCUUCCAUGGCAGGUGUGGCUCUCCCAUCAGUGGCUGGAGUAACACUUCUGUCGGUGGCUGGGGUGACACUCCCAUCAGUGGCUGGAGUGAUGCUCCCAUCAGUGGCUGGGGUGAUGCUCCCAUCAGUGGCUGGGGUGGUACUGCCAUCUGUAGCUGGGGUGGCACUACGGUCUGCGGGGGCUACAUUAUCGCUUUUUGCAGCAUCACCCGCUGUGGCUUGGGUGGCACUGCCCCCAACAGCUGGGGCAGGUCCACUUGCAGCAGUGGCCCCACCUGCAGCCCCAGGGGUGGCAGUGUCUGUGGCUGGGGCAGGCUGGGCUGCAGCCGUGCUGGACUGCUCCGGUGCCCUCAGCCGUUUCAUGAGGGUGGUCACUCGGACAGCCUUCUGAAAGGAGGACAGUGGAGAGAGGCUCAGAGCAAGGCUUAAGGAGUCUGGAUCUAUUCCUUCGCAAAGGCCAAAUCCAGACCCUUUCAUGGUGCCCUGGCUGCCUCUGAGCACCUCAGAGCCAGGGACCCAGUUGCUCAGCAUACUUGUUUAAGGUAGUAACAGUGGUUAUGUCUAUUAACCUGACGGUUGAAGAAAGGCCUUUGUGUGGCUGCAGGGGUGUAAUGCAGGCAAGAAACUUGGUGCCAGAAGGAGCACUUGGCAUCAAGCUAGGAAAGGGAGCCAUCCAAGCCUUACCUUCCAUUUAGCCCUGGCAAAGUUCUUUUCAAUCUGGGCACAGACACCAUCCUUGAUGUUCUUAUCAGAAGCAGCAUUGCCAGAAAUCCUGGAAAGAGUACAAGUGUGUCUGGAUCUGGGUGGGUGUGGCCUUCACGGAGACUGUGCCCAGCCCUUCCCUUGUAAAAUCCAGGGAUUACCAGGCAGAACCUCCAGGCUGGCCUGGGCUCUGGGUCCCACCCCCGCAACCCCAACAUGAGGCCCCAAGGAUGGAGGCUGCUAGCUGUGAGGAGGACAGAGGUCAGGGGACCCCUGGCCUCUCCUAUCCUUCCUGGGCCCUGCUCACCACUCAUGGGAGAUGGCCUCUUCUGCAGUGAUCCGCUGGUCUUGCUCCACCUCCAUCAGCCUUGUGACCAGGUCUUUGGCUGGGGACAAAGCCAGGGAGAGGCUAGGCCUGGCUCCCCCCAACUCCCCCAGACCACCAUCUCACUGUCUGGAGGUGGUAAAUGGGCUUGGGAUAGGAUCAGAGUCCAGCAGAGCAGGGUGAGAGCAGGUCCCCCACACCAACCCUUCACUCUACCCUCAUGUUGGGCACCUCCUCACCCGCCUGUGAAAUGUCAUCCCAGUAUGGAGAGUCAAACUCAUAGUCGCCAGCCAGGAUUUUGCGGAAAAGAUUCUUAUCAUGGUUCUCAUAGUCAUCUUCCUCCACCUCCUCAUAGAAAGGUGGGUUCCCAGAAAGCCUGUGAAGGGACCCAAGUGCAGGGUCACUCAGGAAGGCAUGGACGUGGAACCCUUUCCCACCUGGCUGCACGCCUUUUUGCCUGCUCAUCCACUCACAGGAUGUACAUGAUGACUCCAAUGGCCCAGCAGUCCACAGGGCGUCCAUACCGCUGCCGGCCUACCACUUCUGGGGCUGCAAACAGUGUCCAUCUACUGGUCAAUAUUAGGCUUGGCCAGGCCUUAUAUCACCCGUACCCACUUCCUGGGAUGGGGACUUCCUCCCUCCUACCCAGAGCCACUCCUGGAAGGCUAUCUCCCACCCUGCCCUGCCCACCCCCCCUGCUUGCCCAGAUACUCGGGGGUCCCACAGGGCUCCUUGAUGAGGCCAUUCUCUAGCUUAGCCAGGUGAAAGUCACUGAUGACGAUCUUUGAGUUCUUCAGCCGGUUGUAGUAAACCAGGUUCUCCAGCUGCUCCGACAGGGAAUGGCAUGUGGGUGGGCAUAGGAAGACAGCAUGAAACCCUCAGAAGCUAGACCAUGGUCCCAAGGCACUGCCCACCCCAGCCUCAGGCUGGCUGCCAAGAGACCCUCUGACCUGAUUGCUGGCCUCACCUUGAGGUUCCUAUGCACGAUCUUGAGUGAGUGCAAGUAGGCCACCGCCUCCAGGACCUGCCGCACCACGUUGCUCGUGUCUCGCUCCGAGUAGUAGCCCUGGUCCAGGAUCCAGUCAAACACCUCCCUCCCCGUGGCCCUGAGGGACACCAGCCCCUGAGCCCGGCGUGGGCAGGAGCGGGAGGUGGGGCAGGAGCAUGUGGGCAGGCUGCCUACACCAGGCUGGCUGGGCAAGGCACAGGGACCUGGGACCCCAAGGGUCCAGAAGUGGGGCUUUCCCUGGCUGCAGAGGGCAGAGCAUGUAAAGACGUGGGGGAAUGAGGAAUCCUGGAACCCCAGACCCACACUCACAGCUCCAGGAAGAUAAAGUACUCCUUGCGAGUUACAAACACAUCCACAAGUUGCAGGAUGUUGGGAUGCUUCACCCUGGCAGCAGAGAGAAGAGCCAAUAGUUAGGGCUGGGGGAACCCCUAAGAGAGGCUCUGGUGGUCCCUGUGGGCCACAGCAGAAUAACUGGCCAGAGUCUGGUACUGCUUGAGGCCACUGGCCCUUGAAGCUCUUCCCCGCUUCCUCCCCUGCCCGCCCUGCCCCUGGGCCUCGCACUCACAUCUUGAGGAUGCCUAUCUCGUUCUUGGCUGCCUUCCGCACCUUGCGGCCAUCUCGCUUCUGGAAUUUCUUGCAGGUAUGGAGCUUGCCUGUUGUCUUGUCCUUGGCCCGGAAGAUCUCACAGAACUCCUCACUGCAGCCAGCAGGCACUCCACUCAGCCCUGGCCUCAGCAUGGGCUGUAAUCUGCUCCCCUUUCUCCAGCCCUUGCCCACCUACCCUUGCCCCAAAGACCCAGCACUCACGUCUUGAUGACCUGUCCCAAAUCAUAUCUGUCAGUCACCUCCGAUGGCUGGUUAUAGUUCUUCUUGUCGCCCAGAGUCACACACCCAAACGGCAUUGCCAGGCUCUGAGCUGCAGGCAAGACAGAGUCUGGCUCAGCUGUACCACUUCCCACUUCUCCCCACAACACAGAGGCUGCCUUUGGGAAACCCCAAUCUGGCUCAGACCAAGCCAGGGGCAGAGUAUAUUAGCAAGGAUUAGAGAGUGGUCAGACUCAGUUCCUAUCCCUGCUUUUCUGGCCAUACCUCCAGCCUCUCAGCUUGGCUGCCUGAACUACAGCCUCCACUUACGAAAAAUAUAUUAAACUGGCAUAUCAGGGAAUCAUUUUGCAUUAUAUAUAAUCAAAAGAUUUAUCAAAUCAUUAAAUUUCAGUUAUUUCACAGAUGAAGGGGGCUGUAAUAACUACCCACCCAUCAGAGAGUCAUUUCCACAAGUCUAAAGAUGCAAGUGUGGGCAAAGACAUGGAGAACAUGAGCACCGUUGGUGGAGGGCAAGUCACUCCUUUGCAAAACAGCUUGAGAAAAUGGAAGUCAGAUAUACCUUAUGAACCAGCAAGUGCAGUGCUAAAUAUAUGCGCUACAGAAACACGUACAUUUGUGCAGCAGGACAUUCAUAUGGGAAUGCUUAGGGUGGCAAUAUUCAGAAUUGCCCCAAACUGGAACCAGCCCAAAUAUCCAUCAAUGGCAGGAUGUAUUGUGGUAGUCACACAAUGGAAUAUUAUUACACAACAAUGGAAAUGAGGAGCUAGAGCUCUACCCAACCACAUAGUCAAUCUCACCAACACAGUGUUGGGUGAAAAAAAUAUCGAAUACACAUACUGUGAUUCUACUGAUCAGAAUUCAAGACAGGCAUAACCAACCUAUACUGUUUAAGGAUUCAGAUAUAGUGGUAAAACGCUAAAGUAACACUAGGAAAUAAAUGCCAUCAGUCUUUCCGAGAGAAACAAAGAGGUUGUAGCUGAGUGAGGACACAUGGAGGGAUUCUGGAGGAACUAUUUUUGAAUUUGAGUGGUGGUUUCACACGUGUUCAACUUUAUAAUAAUUUAUUAAAAUGUAUAUACAUGUUUUGUGCACAUUCCUGAAUUUUUAUUGUAUUGCACAAUAAAAAUGAUAAUAAAAAUUAUGGCCAUCCA